UACGUAGGGUGCGAGCGUUAAUCGGAAUUACUGGGCGUAAAGCGUGCGCAGGCGGUUUUGUAAGUCAGAUGGGAAAUCCCCGGGCUUAACCUGGGAACUGCGUUUGAAACUACAAGGCUAGAGUGUGGCAGAGGGGGGUGGAAUUCCACGUGUAGCAGUGAAGUGCGUAGAGAUGUGGAGGAACACCGAUGGCGAAGGCAGCCCCCUGGGUUAACACUGACGCUCAGGCACGAAAGCGUGGGGAGCAAACAGG
rnacentral:rRNA from 1 species